ACACCAUGCGAUCUGUCGAAAUGCAAACUUGGAUCAUCUACAGUCAUGCUGCCUAGAAAGAAUUUUUUAUUUUGUAAACUGAACACAAAUGCGGUAACUUAAAAAAUAACUUAUGAUAAAACGUAAGAAUUUUGACAACCACAUUCUGGUAAAAAAUAAGCAUGAACAAAAGACUGAAAGAAAAUUAAAAUUAAACAACGUGAAUACUCACAACCAACAAUGACGAAGAUCAGCGUCGAAAAGAAUUGAAAUCGUGGUGCAGGGCUUUAUAUAAGUUCUCUUCCAUGAUCGACAGGCAGCAAGUACAAGCUUUAUUUUUCCACCACGCGAUGACACUGUAGUCGCUUGUAUUUUCGUCAUUUUUGUUGCCGCUGAAAAGAUAGGAUAUGGCAACUAGGAGCCUAGGACGAUGUUGAACUCUCCUAUUGAAAAAGUUUAGCAUUUUCCCAGGUAACGUCAUCAGAGGAAAAAUGUUAGCUUGUUUAUUAACCUUGCGCCUCAAUCGAAAAAAAUGAAUUCGCCACAUGGGACAGGGAAGAAUAACCAAGUUUCAGGUGAGGAAACGAGGUAAAAAUCAAGGUAAGCGUGGUAGAAAGGGGUACUAUCGGGGUUUUUAAUCGGGUUAUACGCACCAAUUUCUUGUAUUCAUAUUCUGUGUAAUCAACUACACCCGAUCAUUCGUGUCUGAGUUCGAUCGAUUGCAUCAAUUUAUAAUCAUAUCAACAUCAAAGUCUCGGACUACCAUAGUUUUCAGUAUAUCGUUGAGGUGAAAGGCAUAGUCCCUAACCGGAAGACCGUUUCCUAUAUAUCAAUAUUUACAAAUUCCUUAAAAAUUCAAAUAGAAAGCUUCACACCCAAUGAUGAGACAAGAAAAACUUGACAUCAAAGAGCAAUUUUACUGAAAUUAUGUUGGCCCAGUUGCCAGCACAUUCACAAUGCAAGUAUUUGAAAACUUUGUUCCUUACUUCUUAGAUAACAAAAAGAUUGAAUACUUUUGUGGCUGUGGCUACUGUGACGAAUGUACCAUGGAGAUUAUAUUGCUGAGGAGAAAUCCCACUUCAUUGUAAGAUUUUGCUGUCCAUCAAAUAUAAAUCUGAAUUGCUUUUGUAAUCCUAACAACAGAUCGGUACAACCAGAGAAAUGCAUGGAAAUGGAUACUAUAACUUAACUGACAAAUUCAACAGAUAAAACUGGAACAUGUAGCCAAGGAAGAGUUGGCAAGAAAGCAAACAAAAAAUACAGAA